GCCGCGAUGGCGGAACUGGUAGACGCACAGGACUUAAAAUCCUGCGACUUCGGUCAUGAGGGUCCGACUCCCUCUCGCGGCA
rnacentral:tRNA from 1 species